rnacentral:lncRNA from 1 species
AUAUAAUAAUAGAUGCCAACGAAGUCCAAAUACCACAAAGAAGGAUCCCUGCCAGUUUCAUUGUGGUACUAUUCAUCAAUAGUGCAACAUCAUGACCUUCUGGAUGGGACAUAUUCCUUGGGGCCGUUCGACUUAAACCAAAAAACCAGCAGUAAUCAGCUCUGUAAAAUCAUACACUUGAAGCUUUGCUCACCAACAAUUGCUUUGAAAUCAGCUUACCAAUCAAAAACCAGAAACUAGAAUAUUUAGAA